ensembl:lncRNA ZKSCAN7-AS1 ZKSCAN7 ZNF cluster antisense RNA 1
UCUUUUCCCAGAACUGGGGAAGAGAGGCGGAACUCCUGAGCCCUUGGGUACUAGUGUUCCUUACAUCGAACAAGAACUGGCCGCUGUUUCAGACCGGAAGGGUGCAGAGAUGAAAGACAGGACCCAGGGUCUCAGGAUGCCUGUUGCCUCCUAAGAGAGUUGGACAUUUCUAUUUUGAUUUGCAUUUCAAUUGAGGUUGAUAGGGAGUGACCUUCACGUCUGAAUGACCUGCUUCCUGAGGCCUCCCCAGAAACUGAACAGAUGCUGGCACCGUGCUUCCUGUACAGCCUGCAGAACAGCUAGAGUGCAAUGGCGUGAUCUCAGCUCACUACAACCUCUGCCUCCCAGGUUCAAGUGAUUCCUCUGCCUCAGCCUCCCGAGUAGCUGGGAUUACAGGACAAGUUCAGCAACCCUAAAGGCAAACUGGCCUAGGGCCUGGGAAGUGGAGAAUGCCUAUUCCUAGGCUAACCCAAGCAUUAGAGAAGCAUCAGGCCGCCAUUCUAGACUCAACUGCUCACCUCCUCUGAUCCACUGAGGUGUCUCUGGAAAUCCUCCACCACAGCCACAGCCUCCUCACCACUCUCAGGGUGAUGCAGCUGCACCCAGGUCCGGAGCUCCCCAGGGAGGAUGCUCAGGAACUGCUCAAGCACCAGCAGCUCCAGGAUCUGCUCCUUGGUGUGCACCUCUGGCAUGAGCCACCAGCGGCAGAGCUCCCGAAGCCGGCUCAAUGCUUCCUGCGGCCCAGACAUCUCGUGGUAACACAAUUGCCUGAAGUGUAGCCGGAAGAUUUCGCAGACAGGAGGAUAGUUCUUCUGGAGACUGCUGCCCUGCCCCCAGGUCUGGUUUGCUGGCUCCUGCUUCACAGUCAGGCGCCCCUCUUGCUUCUGGAAAGCAGUGCUCCUGGGGAUGAGGCCUAAAUUUCCCCUGCCUGCAGUGGUCAUUGUGACCCCAAAGAGAAGCUUGUUACAGCUGCAGUUGGUCCGAUUAAAAUGAUGGUCAAUAGUUCAGGUCUCAGGAACUGUUUUUCAGGGUUGGAGAAAGGGGUGAUGGUAGUGUGGCCUACAGAAACAAGAGUGAAAUCAGAGUUCUUGGAGUAUUCAGCCCCAGGCUGAUGACAAUCCUCCACUGAGUUAAAAAACAAAGCUCCAGGAAAAAAGAACACAACCAGGCAUUCUUAGUAAGCAUCUCUCCAAAUGAUGCCCUUCUUAAAGUUUCAGUGGCUCCCAUUACCUACAGGAUAAAAUCUAAAUGUCUAUGCCUUGCAUUCACAGCCCUUCACAACCUGGCCUUACCCCCUUCACAACCAGCCACACCCUCUACCACUCACCCCAAGUACCCAUGCUAGAAAGACAGCAAUGGUCUCCAAUGUGGGAAAUGCAGGCUAUCCCAAAGGGUGCAAGAGAAAAUACUAAGUUAUUUAACUCCUAUUUAAUGUAUGUUUUAUAAUGUGCAUUACAAUUUGUAUAGUAGUAUUCAUGUUUAAAUUACAAAUAAACCAAUGUAGGGAGUAAGUGAUCAAACCUCUUCUACUGAUAGAAAUGCAAAAUAAAGAAAGUUUGGAGCUAAAGCUCUAGAGACACACUUAGAAGCCACACAUACUCUUUCUUUGAAUUUUUCUUCUUCAACUUUUGGCAAACUUGUCUGUCAAGACCAUGAACAAAGGCAACUUUUUCUUGGUUUUCCUGAUUGCCCCAUCAGGAAGAGUGCUGGUAGCUUCCCUUUGUGUACCUCUCACUAUAACCCUUUAACUGGUUUAUGCACAACUCACCACUCUCACCCUCCAAACUGCUGCACGGCCACCAAAGGAAAGGAACCAAAUGGAAUCAGAAAAUACUAGACCUUUUUUUACUCAAUGCACCUCCCCUAGAAAGCCUUCCUGAUCACGCUAGGCUUAGAGAGGUGGUUAUUGUCUCAGUGAUCCCAAACUACCUUUUUCAUUCAAACCUCUAGUAGAGCACAUCUCACACUGUAAUCGUUUGUGGUUUACACGACUGUCUCCCCUGCUUUCUGGGAGGAUACAAAGGGCAGAGCUGACUUCCAGUCAUCUUUGUACACGUGUGCACAUGGCACACAUAAUUGGGAAAUGAAUGAAUAUGAUACAUUUAGCUGACACUGAAGUGGAGGAAAACUUUGAACGUUUUAAAAUCAGCACCUUACUGGUAACUAGGGCAUCUGUGCUGUGCUUCCAGUUCACCAAGAGCCCAGAUCCCUGUGUCUCAAUCUCUUUAAAAAGACAAAGAAGGACUUUAAAAUAAUCUGUAAACUCUGCUCUAAGAUCCCAUAUAUGUAGAAAGUUCAGGCCAUUCUCCUGCUUCCCAUAGUGUUCCGAAUGCUCAGCACUUUAAAAUCUCAAUUGGAUUUUUGCAUUUCCAAGUCACGCUCCACGUUUGCGAUUCUGAGCCUGGGUCUGACCCAAAUAUGACAGUUCAUACAGUUUCCUACUGCAAGAGCUGGGAAAACAGCGAUCUACCUUUCGUGUUAAACCAGGCUUCAGCAGCGCCGCUCACCUGGCCACGUCUGCCCUGUUCAUCGCUGUACCCGCAGAUACCCGGCUCCGUGCCACGCACGAAUGGUCAGGGGUAUGAGACAAAGAAGCGGCUCUACAUCGGGCGGCUUCUGAGAGUCACGGGGACCGCGCCGCCUGCCGCCGGGAAGAAGCGCGGUCCUGGCCAGCGUCGGCGACCCGAGCUCCGGCCGCGCCUCCCUCCGCGUCUCGGCCCACUCGCGGUGGCACUCGGCACCGAAGCCGGACACUCUACUGCCCGUUAGACCAAAAACAAUGGCCGAGCCGGAAGCGAGAGAGGCCUCGACUUCCGCCCCCUCCGGGAUCCCGGAAGUCUCGUUUGCGAAGGUGGGCGCGCGCGUCCCCGCACCCGGGAGAGCUGGCAGGGCUUACUUCUCGGCUGUGCCCGGCCACCUGCCGCGGGCGGGGUCGGGGUCUCGCGAGGGCCCAGGCCACUCACAUCCCGCUCUCAGGCCAUAGUCGGGGGAUCCAGACGCGUCCCAGCUCUACACCUUCUCCUCCAGGUGUCCUUGGGAAAGAUACCCAACCUCCAAGCCUGUUUUCUCAUCUGAAAAAAAUGCAGAGCAUAAUGCGUACCUCACAGGGCUGGGAGCACCGCAUGAGGUUAACAGACACUACAUAGCAAAAGGCCUGGCAUAUCCUGAGCAGUCAGUUAUACCAUGUGUGAUGCCCAAUCUGAAGUCUCAGUGAAGGGAGCAGCAAGCAUCUCCCAUCUUAAAAAUGAAGAAGCAUGUCUAGAAAUUGUGAUAUUUUGGCCCAUAAAUGUGGUUAAUAUUUCGUAAGACAGCACCAGCAUUCUGGUGUCCAUGUAGAGGUUCCUAGGGAGACCAAGAAGCAGAUAAACUGAGAAGGUGUGGGGACAGUUUGUAACCUAGUAGGCAGUUGUCUAGCCUCUGGGUGGCAGGUGGUACCCAGGUGACUUUCACUUUGAAGAAUGGUUUGCAUACAGAAGGAGGAUAUGAACUGGUCCUUGUUACAAACAUGGUUGAGCAGGCCCUGUGUGUUAAUGACCACGGGUGAAGGGCAAAGGGUGUGAUGAAGUUAACUGUGUAUCUUUAUUAUAGCACAGGAGAUAGGUCCUUUACAGGGCCCAAAGUAAACAGUCUCCUGGACUGUCUAGGGAUGGCAAUAUUUCAAAGGUGCCCUGGGCCUAACCCUGGCCCUGACAUAUGUUCCUCAUAUAUCUGUGUGAGCCAAGAUAGAAACAAAGACACCAGAAGUCCUGCUCCAGAGUUUCCACAAGCUUAAAAGUAAUCUCUUGGAGCAAUCUUUGUCCAUUGAUCCUAAUGGUGGUUUCCUGUCAUCAAGGUCCCCCUCUCCAUUUGGAAAUCUCACAAGGAGGUUUUGGCUAUUUAAAACCAGGAACCCCAGCCUCUGCCUGACAUUGAUGCUAGACAUUGCCUACUGGCAAAUCAAGGCCUCAGAAGCUUAGGAUUCUUGAGGUGGAAGGCAAAUCAAGGCCCCAGAAGCUUAGGAUUCUUGAGGAGGAAAUCUCCCAAGGCCAGGCUAAAUGCUCUCAGACCUGAUUUUCAGGUCUCCUUGACCACGUGUUGUCCUGCAGUCCUGGCUUCCUAUUAUAGGAGACACAAGGAUUUGGAAACCAAGAUUGAGGUUUUUUAUUCUUCAGAGCUGUUUCAUGCACAAGUGGUUGGCUUUCAUUGGCUGUAAGGACCAGGCCCAUCUGAGCAGUGUGUUUAGACUUCAGAGGCACUUCUGUGACCAACACUGUGGGCCUGGCCCGAUCUACCAUGACUGGGUUGGGCCCCAGUGGGCAAGACACUUGAUGAUGCCUCGAUAUAGCACCUUAGGACACCUACCUUUGGGCCAAAGACAACCACAGAAGGCUUUUAGGAAUUCUGUACUCCAACUCGAUUUCUCUUGAAAAUCAUCACUCAAGCUUUGGUAUGAGAGCUAACAAAUAGGUAACUCAAAUUCUACAUGCCUGAAACGAAACUUACCAUCUAUCCGCAACCCUGAAGCUCCAACCCAUAUCCCCAUCACUGUAAAAAGUAUUAUCAUUCACCCAGGGACCCAAACUAGAACCCUGGGUGUCAUCCCAUGAGCUGAGUGACCAUGGACAAGUUACUUAGCCUCUCUGUGCAUAGCUUCCUUAUUUGGAAAAUGGGGAUAAUAAUAUACUUGAAUUGUAGAGUUGUUGUGAGGAUUGGAUGAGAUAAAAUACAUAAAGCACUUAGAAUGGUGCCUGACACAUUGUAAGUAUUAUAGGUGUUUUCUAGUAUUGUGUUUACUAUCCUUGUUUCCUCUCAGUUCAUCCCCUGUAUCCAUUAAUGUUAAGGCCUGCCACGUUUGCCCUAUA